rnacentral:rRNA from 1 species
UACGGGGGGUGCGAGCGUUGUCCGGAAUCACUGGGCGUAAAGGGCGCGUAGGUGGUCUGAUAAGGGUGUGGUGAAAGCCCGGGGCUCAACCCCGGGUCGCCGUGCCCGACUGUGGACUAGAGUGCUGUAGGGGCAGGCGGAAUUCCGGGUGUAGCGGUGGAAUGCGUAGAGAUCCGGAGGAAGACCGGUGGCGAAGGCGGCCUGCUGGGCAGUACUGACACUGAGGCGCGACAGCG